UACGAAGGGGGCGAGCGUUGUUCGGAUUUACUGGGCGUAAAGGGCGCGCAGGCGGCUCAUUUUGUCAGGCGUGAAAGCCCCGGGCUUAACCUGGGAACUGCGUUUGAUACGGAUGGGCUAGAGUUCGGGAGAGGAGAGUGGAAUUCCCAGUGUAGAGGUGAAAUUCGUAGAUAUCUGGAGGAACACCGGUGGCGAAGGCGGCAUCCUGGACCGAUACUGACGCUGAGGAGCGAAAGCCAGGGGAGCAAACGGG
rnacentral:rRNA from 1 species